UACGUAGGGAGCAAGCGUUGUCCGGAAUCAUUGGGCGUAAAGCGCGCGUAGGUGGCUUCGUAAGUCCGCUGUGAAAGUCAAAGGCUCAACCUUUGAAAGCCGGUGGAUACUGCGGGGCUAGAGUACGGAAGAGGCGAGUGGAAUUCCUGGUGUAGCGGUGGAAUGCGCAGAUAUCAGGAGGAACACCAAUAGCGAAGGCAGCUCGCUGGGACGUUACUGACACUGAGGCGCGAAAGCGGGGGGAGCGAACAGG
rnacentral:rRNA from 1 species